UCUAUACGUUGGUGUUCUAACCAAUAAUCACCGAUACAAUAUUCUGUCCGAUCGAUCCGAGAACUAACUAACGAAUGCCAACGUGCUGUUUGAAUAAGAGUAUACUUUGUUGACUUACGUUAUGGUUUUGAUCUCAUGACCAUCGUUAGGUUUGAUCUGGUUUUACAUUAAUACGUAUUCUACUCUGUUAAACUAUAUGUUUAACUAUCCAAAAGCUCAAAACUAUAACCUUACUAUCAAAAUUGAUGUUUAAUCAUCAAAAGAUUCAGAACUAUAAAAGUAGAUGCUUAGUUAUCAGAAGACUUAGAAUCAGGGGCUUGUUUAAUCAAGACCAUAUACUAACAAGGUGAUAACAGUAGAUUGAAACAAGAGUUGUGAUAUGGCACCGAAAGGCUUAAAGAAGUGGCUUAUUUUAUCAGUUAAACUAAAUUAAGAAACGUUGUUUUAUAUAAUCAGGUUUAUCCCAUAUUAAAGCUACCUUUGUAAAACAUGGGUUUAUUCCCAUCUGUUUACUAAAUAAAACCCGGUGUUUCUAAACUCUGGUAUUUUCCUAACUCACGGUCCUGAUGAAAUUUUACGCUGCAAUACUUUUUAAAAUAACCACCGGUACCACUUGACUGUUCAUGGCUCCCGUCCAGGGUGUGGUCGGGGGUCAUGACAGUGUAAUACUAUAUUAUUAGGUUUGGAAUCAUUAGAGGACGCUCAAGAACAUACCCAUCUACUUCAACAUUAAUCAUGUCUUCAGAGGAAGACAAAAAUAGAAUAACACUUGAACAACUUCUUCAAAAAUCUCCAAAAGAAAUAAUAAAAUUAAACUCACAUGUCUUGCAAGCAUAAAAGAGAUUGACAGCUCUCGAAAAUGGUUCUACAAAUCAUGUAACGAAUGUAGAAAGAAAGUCCUACCAAAAGAAGAAAAGUUUGCAUGUCCAGAACAUGGAGAAAUACAAUCACCACGAUUCAUGUAUGCCGUCAACGCAACCAUUGCUGAUGACACAACAUCAGUAGCCGUUGUUCUAUUUAACGAUGUAAUGAGAUCUUUACUUGGAAUGUAUUGUCACGA